rnacentral:rRNA from 1 species
UCCUACGGGUGGCAGCAGUGGGGAAUAUUGGACAAUGGGCGAAAGCCUGAUCCAGCCAUGCCGCGUGGAUGAUGAAGGCCCUAGGGUUGUAAAGUCCUUUCGACGGGGAAGAUAAUGACGGUACCCGUAGAAGAAGCCCCGGCUAACUUCGUGCCAGCAGCCGCGGUAAUACGAAGGGGGCUAGCGUUGCUCGGAAUCACUGGGCGUAAAGCGCACGUAGGCGGUUUUCUAAGUCAGGGGUGAAAUCCCGGAGCUCAACUCCGGAACUGCCUUUGAUACUGGAGAACUUGAGUUCGGGAGAGGUGAGUGGAACUGCGAGUGUAGAGGUGAAAUUCGUAGAUAUUCGCAAGAACACCAGUGGCGAAGGCGGCUCACUGGCCCGAUACUGACGCUGAGGUGCGAAAGCGUGGGGAGCAAACAGGAUUAGAUACCCUAGUAGUC